GGGGGGGGGGGGGGGGGGGGGGGGGGGGGGGGGGGCGGGCGAGGGCGGCGGGUCGGGUGGCGGACGGGUGGGGUAGGCGUGGGAACCUGCGGUUAGUGUGGGAAUAAAGAGUCGAAAGGGGGGCUAAUACGUGAUAAUGUUUGCGGACCAAAGAUUGAUCGCAUUUGGAUGGGCUCGCGUUGUAGUAGCUAGGUGGUAGGGUAAAAGCCUAACAAGCAGAAUAUCACUAGCUGGUUGGAGAGGAUGAUCGGACACGCUGGAACUGAGACACGGCCCAGACUCCUGCGGGAGGCAGAAGUGGGGAAUAUGGGACAAUGGGCGAAAGCCUGAUCCAGCAAUGCCGCGUGAGUGAUGAAGGCCUUAGGGUUGUAAAGCUCUUGUACCCGGGAUGAUAAUGACAGGACCGGGAGAAUAAGCUCCGGCUAACUCCGUG
rnacentral:rRNA from 1 species